AACCCCUGUGUGCAAUUUGAAGGACUAAUCACCAACCAAAGCCCUUGUUGGUGUGAGAGGGUGAUUUCUGAAUCUUCAUGGAACUGUUCGCAAAGAUUCCUAGAUCUUUUUCUGGAAAAGCUUCAAAACUCAAAUAGAAAACCUAUGGAGUAUUAGUGAUUUUUAAGACUGGGUGGCAGCAGGGAGAGGACGAGGGAAGCAUUUUGAUGGUCUUAGAGGAUCUGAUCCUUCAAGCACUGUAUGCAUAAGGUAUCUCUUCAAAUCAAUGGGAGUCAUGCCCAGAGAGUUCUUGUAGCAUGGAGUUCUUCAUUAGAGAAGUCUUUGAACAGCACAGGUUAGACAGCAAAGUGCAUCUAUGU